rnacentral:lncRNA from 1 species
CGGGGCAAAUACACUUUAUUCAGUCCUGGCAUCAGACUGGCGGAGUCCUGCUGUGGGUGCCAGUGCCCCAGACAGAGGGACCCCACCCCUCAGCUACGAUACUAGUUCUCCAAGACCACAGACAGUGACAUCUCUUCACUCACAUGACGCCCAGAGCCGGAGCACCAAGCUUAAAGGAGGCAGCUGGUGGCUUUGUCAGCGACGGGAACGCGUGGGGCAGAGACCUGCAGAGACCCUGGGCAGGGGUCCGGAGGACUCUGGGACCGUUUGUUCCUGAGAUUUGUGUGUGUGAAUGAGAGUGUGUGAGCCACCCGGGAGGGUGAACACACGCCGGUGAGAUACAGGUAGUCACAGCAACAGGGACAGGGCUCCCGAGGGCACCCUGAACUGGACACAACUUCCUCCUAACAGCAGCGUUCUCCCCAUUUCUCACGUGGAAAAACCGAGGUGCAAACGGCCCAUCACUACUCGGAAUCCAUUCUCAGUCUCACUGGCCAAGUCGAUGGUCUCUCCCAAACCAGAUGUUUAAAAGCGAGAGUCUUUCUGCCAUCACAUCUGCUAUCCACGCCUCAGUCCCAAACCCCUAGCACCAAAGUGCCUCAGUUUUUCCCGCUGUAUACUGCAGCUUGAGUACUGAGGGUGGACCUGGGUGACAGGAAGGGCCGGUGGGCUUAGGGAGGAGCCCAGGUUGCGGGUGCCCUGAGGUGAGGGGGCACUUCCCAGGAGGGGGUGGGGAAGGUGCAGCAGGGAUCCUGUCCCCAAACAGACUGGUAAGGUGCCUUGGUUUUUAGUUUUCUUGGGUGGUCCCUUCCUCUACUGCUGGAUUUCCAGAGAAAGACCUUACCUCUCAAUUCCCAGUUGGGGGAAAAAAGGGACGUAUAGAUAGGCUGUAGAGGCAGCCACGCGACCGGAGAGGUGGUGCGCGUGGGUGUAGGAGACCCCAUACCGGAAAAGGGGCUAUGCCACUUGGGAGAGUUUCAGGCCCAAACCAACCCUUCCAAGUGCUCCUCCCAUGAAGGCAGCGACGCCCCGUUGGGUGGAGAGAGGAAACCUAGGGCUCCCGGAUCAAAGGAUUUCCCAGGAUCGCUCUACAUUCGCCCCCGCUUUUGCCCGGAGCGGGCGAAGAGUGCGGCUCCACUGGGACCAGCCCCCUCCUCCCCAGAAGCAUUAAGCAUGCGCACGAAGGGGGUGGGCCCCAGCGGAGAGGCGGGCCCUAGCGCUCCGGGGAUAAAAGGAGUGCGCCCCUCCCCCCAGGGAAGGGAGGGGCACAGGAGGAGCGUGCGUUGCCACCCAGCCGCAUCGCCCCCCUAACCCGGAGAAGGCAGGCUGGGCGAGGGAGGAGAGAUUCCGGAGCAAAGGAGGGGGCGGGUCCUCCGGCCACGAGGAGGGGCGUGUGCAAAAGGGGGGAGAACUGGGGAGCGAGGAGCUGGGCGCUCGGGCCCAACGGACGGCGGGGGGGGAAGGUCAGCGCGGUCUCAGGCGGGCUCGGCGCGCCCCCGCCGCCUCCGGCAAGUUGCGUCCUGGCGCACAACACACAUUGUUUUGCGGGGGCCGAGGAAUCGCACCCUCCGGGCCCCCG